rnacentral:rRNA from 1 species
AUUGAACGCUGGCGGCAUGCUUUACACAUGCAAGUCGAACGGUAGAGGGGGCAACCCCUUGAGAGUGGCGAACGGGUGAGUAAUGCAUCGGAACGUGCCCAGUCGUGGGGGAUAACGCAGCGAAAGCUGUGCUAAUACCGCAUACGAUCUCUGGAUGAAAGCGGGGGACCGAAAGGCCUCGCGCGAUUGGAGCGGCCGAUGUCAGAUUAGGUAGUUGGUGGGGUAAAGGCCUACCAAGCCAACGAUCUGUAGCUGGUCUGAGAGGACGACCAGCCACACUGGGACUGCGGCACGGCCCAGACUCCUACGGGAGGCAGCAGUGGGGAAUUUUGGACAAUGGGCGCAAGCCUGAUCCAGCAAUGCCGCGUGCAGGAAGAAGGCCUUCGGGUUGUAAACUGCUUUUGUACGGAACGAAACGGUCUGGGUUAAUACCCUGGGCUAAUGACGGUACCGUAAGAAUAAGCACCGGCUAACUACGUGCCAGCAGCCGCGGUAA